CCUUCGAUAGCUCAGUUGGUAGAGCGGUGGACUGUAGUUGGAAGAUUUUACGAGCAGAUAUCCAUAGGUCGCUGGUUCAAAUCCGGCUCGAAGGA
rnacentral:tRNA from 1 species